UUUCAUCACAAAACAUUCACAUGCUUUACUUACUUUCUGUCCUCAUCUCAGCAGGUGAGCAGGUGAAUCUGCUGUGUUGGACUGCGGUAGGAGAGGAAAACGUGUUCUAGAGAAACUGGCUGGGGGGA
rnacentral:snoRNA from 1 species